rnacentral:rRNA from 1 species
CUUAGAGUUUGAUCCUGGCUCAGGAUGAACGCUGGCGGUAUGCUUAACACAUGCAAGUCGAACGGUGUCUUCGGACAUAGUGGCGGACGGGUGAGUAACGCGUGAGAAUCUAGCUUCAGGUCUGGGACAACCACUGGAAACGGUGGCUAAUACCGGAUGUGCCGGAAGGUGAAAGGCUUGCUGCCUGAAGAUGAGCUCGCGUCCGAUUAGCUAGUAGGUGGGGUAAGAGCCUACCUAGGCGACGAUCGGUAGCUGGUCUGAGAGGAUGACCAGCCACACUGGGACUGAGACACGGCCCAGACUCCUACGGGAGGCAGCAGUGGGGAAUUUUCCGCAAUGGGCGAAAGCCUGACGGAGCAAUACCGCGUGAGGGAGGAAGGCUCUUGGGUUGUAAACCUCUUUUCUCAGGGAAGAACACAAUGACGGUACCUGAGGAAUCAGCAUCGGCUAACUCCGUGCCAGCAGCCGCGGUAAUACGGAGGAUGCAAGCGUUAUCCGGAAUGAUUGGGCGUAAAGCGUCCGCAGGUGGCUGUGUAAGUCUGCUGUCAAAGAGCAAAGCUCAACUUUGUAAAGGCAGUGGAAACUACACGGCUAGAGUGCGUUCGGGGCAGAGGGAAUUCCUGGUGUAGCGGUGAAAUGCGUAGAGAUCAGGAAGAACACCGGUGGCGAAGGCGCUCUGCUAGGCCGCAACUGACACUGAGGGACGAAAGCUAGGGGAGCGAAUGGGAUUAAAUACCCCAGUAGUCCUAGCUGUAAACGAUGGAU